CUUCCUAUAGCUCAAUGGUUAGAGCAUGAUACUGUUAAUAUCAGGAUAGAUGUUCGAAUCACCUUGGGAAGG
rnacentral:tRNA from 1 species